rnacentral:rRNA from 1 species
UACGUAGGUGGCAAGCGUUGUCCGGAAUUUAUUGGGCGUAAAGCGCGCGCAGGCGGUCCUUUAAGUCUGAUGUGAAAGCCCACGGCUCAACCGUGGAGGGUCAUUGGAAACUGGGGGACUUGAGUGCAGAAGAGGAAAGCGGAAUUCCACGUGUAGCGGUGAAAUGCGUAGAGAUGUGGAGGAACACCAGUGGCGAAGGCGGCUUUCUGGUCUGUAACUGACGCUGAGGCGCGAAAGCGUGGGGGAGCAAACAGG